GGCCCCGUAGCUCAGUCGGAUAGAGCAUCAGAUUCCUAAUCUGAGGGUCACAGGUUCGAAUCCUGUCGGGGUCA
rnacentral:tRNA from 1 species